rnacentral:lncRNA from 10 species
UGUAGUUCCUGUAAUUCCCAUAUAUCGUGGGAGGGACCAGGCGGAGACAAUUAAAAUAUGGGGGCAGUUUCCCCAUCCUGUUCUCAUGAUAGUGAGUCAGAUCUCACAAGAGCUGAUGGUUUUAUAAGGGGCUUCCCCCUUUGCUGGGCACUCAUUCUUCUCUUCCCUGCCACCAUGUGAAGAAGGAUGUGUUUGCUUCCCCUUCUACCAUGAUCAUAAGUUUCCUGAGGCUUCCUCAGCUGGGCUAAACUGACCCUCGCCAGUGGCUGUAACUGCCUCUAAACUGCCUGCCUGACUGGAAUCCAUCCCCCGCACCAUGGGAAGAUCGUCUCUUCUGAGAUACUUACUUCACGUACUCCAGAUCCUUCCCUGGCUUUUUUUUUUUUUUUUUUUUUGACGGAGUUUGCUCUUGUUGCCCAGGCUGGAGUGCAGUGGCUCACCACAACCUCCGCCUCCCAUGCCUGACAAGGAAGACCACAUGCUGAGUGGAAGGUGGGGGGCAUGCAUAGUGCCUGGCACCUGGUGGCACCCCUGACUGAGUGUCUCACUGACAGGGACUUGAGGAACUGUCUUGGGGAAGGGAAGAUCUUUGCUUUUGUGAUGACACCAACGUAUGAAAGACGUGCAGGGCCCAGUGGAGUUGGCUGGCUUUUAUUCAGCUGUAAGGAUGACCUGCAGAUGGGCAAUUAGAGGAUGCGUGUGAGAGCCAGGAGACCUCUUGGGUAGCUUGCUAAGAGUUUCUGCAGUGGAACAGAAGACGCACCUCAGGGCUUGAAGGCUAGAGUUGCAGAGCUCCAGAGAUGUUUACGUGCUCAGUCAAGUCAGGGGUUAUGCUAAGGUGGAUGUCUUGGUUGGGAAAACCUAGAGAAUCUUAAAACAUAGGAUUGGGACGUCUGGGUGAAUGGCCCUGAGCAGCUGAGCUCUGCUGAACCCCUGCAGUCUCAAAGCUCGCAGUCUUUGCUGCCCUCCCUAGCAAGAGCUGACAUGCUGCCCAUGGGAACUCACUGCAGAGGUCUCUCCCUGCAAAGCAAGGAGUGCUGGUCCCAGAGGAGCUGCCCUCACACCUGCUCUGACUGCUGAGUUGAUAACAGCCAAACUUGUCUUGAAAUGAUGCAGCCCGGAUGAGCCACACGGGACCCUCAGGCAGGAGCUGGCUGAUGAGGAUCUGUGGGCACGGGUUUGCCUUUCUUGUCGGCAUAGCAUCACCCAGCGCCAAGUGACACUGACUUACACCUGACCGGAGGGCUCUCCUCACAGCUACGGAGGUGGAAGGCAGCCCCAUGACCAUGGAAUCCAUUGGUUAUGUUACAUCCCACGUUACCCAGCGACAGCGGCCCCCCAGAGCUCUGGAACAGCCUGCUUCAGGCACUGUCACAGAGCAGCUUGGAGACAACAGCCUGCAAGGACAUAGUGUGUGCACUCAAUCAGAGCCCUCCUUAUGCCAGUGAGUCCUGGGUAGGGGGAACACCUGGGUUGGGGAGCGAGCAAGGGGUGAAAGCAGGCAUGGACCCCCUCACAUCACUCCUCUUGACCAACUGAAGGAGAUCCUACCUCCCGCCUCCGCAGCUCUGGGAUCUGCAGGAUGGGAGGGCCAAGCCCCUCUGCCACAGCGGUGGCUCCUGUCUUGUUGCUGCGUACUGCUCGUGUCCAGGGACGAGCCGUGAGAAUUGGAGCCACCGUCUUGGUGAGGGCAUGGCCUUGCCAGCAGGAAAAGAGCUGCUUUUCCACAAUGGGACAGGGAAGAAUGCACACGGGAGUCAGGCAGCCCCUCUGCCAUCCCAAACAACUGCAGCUAGAAAUAUGCAGCAGCCCUGGCCUGAGAAGGGAUGAAAGCUGAGGGCCCACACUGCCCACACCACCAGUUGUGCCCCUGUGAUGGGUUGAAGUGUGUUACCCAACAAGAUGCAUUCGUGUCCUAACCCCUGAUGCCUGAGGAUGUUAUCUGACUCGGAACAGGGUCUUUAUAGAUGGAAUGAAGUUGAGAUGAGGCCUCGAGGAUGAGCCCUGAUCUAAGAUGACUGGUGUCCUCAUGAGAGGAGGAGAGACAAAGCCAUAGACAGAAGACAGAAGAGGCUGGAGUGAUGCUGCCACCAAAGGAGGAUCCUCCCACAAAGGCAUCUGAGGGAGCCUGGCCCUGCUCACACCUUGGUUGCAGGCUUCUGGCCUCCAGGACUGCGAGGGAGUCACUGCUGUUUUAAGCCACCAGCUUGUGGGGCUUUAUUAUGGCAGCCACAGCAAACUGGUGCAGCCACUAAGACCUGAAUAAGUGGCAGCUCCAUAGAGGAUGGUGGGCUCAGGUGGUCCCCAAGGCCAAUGUGUGGCAGGCAGUGGUUGUCCCAUUAUCCUGUCUCUUCUGUGUUUCCCUUCUGAAAGAGGCUCUCAAGCACUGGGAGUGGUGUCCUCACACACAUGCAGGAGGGGUUCUGUGUGGCCAUGGAGGGCACCUGCCAUGGGGACCCAGGUGACAGAUGGCUCCCACUGCAGCCGUCUUGCCAAGACCAUGCAUCCCCUGGGCUGUCCCCGGCACUGAAUGAGCACAGCUGGGCACUGGGACCAGGUCACUUCUGCCAAGCACAGGUAUCCUCUACUGCUGGACCUUGGCUCGGGGGUGCGCCCAUGCCCCGCUAAGACUUUCUUAGGUGGUGCUGCCACCUGAGCUCUUCCACCCAGUACCCCGUCUCUCUCCUCUGACAGACGCCAGCCUUGCCUGGCUGCUUCCCCUUCAUCCUUCACAGACUCCCCCCACCCUAGAACUCUCCCGCUGAUGCAAUGCUGCCUGAAGACCAGAACUGAUAUAGGGGAACGUCGCUGUCCUCACAUACGUCACAGAAGCAUCCCGCUGUCAGCCUCCCAUCAAAUACCUCGUAAGCAUCAUAGAGACAGCUCUUCUCUUCUCUCUUCAUUUACUCACUCAAGAAUACACAAAAAUAGCAAACACUCCAGGGCUCAGGACAUUAAGAAAUGAGCACAACCAGAUUAAUGAGCUUCUCCCUCCUUCUGAGUUGUCUUGAUUAGUUCAGACUAUUAGCCAGACGCCACAAUGUAAUCAGACAACUUCCAACUGGGGCUGACGCAAGAGAGUACUCAGCAACUGUGGGCACAGCCUUCUAGGGUCCUGAUUAUCUUAGCAUAGUGUGUAUUAGUUCAGGAAAGUUAAAGCAAACAAAAAGUGAGUGCUAGCACUCAGUUUGCAUUUUUAAAAUGAUCCAAACUUGUGGAGUGGCAGCCAGCAGCCUUCCCCUGAGACAGGCAAACUUAAUUGACACAGAAAUAUCCACAGUCAACUUUUUAGUAUUAUUUUCUGGUGAAAUGUUACUCUACUUGAUAAAAAUUGUAGUAAAACAGGAUUUCCUUUCCCGUCUCUGGUCUUCUAAAUCUCACAGGGGAAGACUCUUGUGUGUUUAAGAAGAACAUGCUAUUUUCUCACUUCCAGCUUGGAAACCAUGAUGGUAAAAAUACCACUUGCAAACCCACGAAAACUCUCUGGGGACUCAAGGGAAGGCCAGGAGACCACAAUCAUAAAUGAUAAUGCAGAGAAGGACGAAAGGCUUAUUAUUGUCAUUGUGAUCGCUGUUAUGAAGAACAAAUGUUGAUAUGCAAAGACACAGGUCUAGAGGAUUCCAGGAAGUGGGUGGGGCACAAGCCUGGCCUCCCCAGCUUAUUACCUUGUCAGGGAUGCAGGACACAAGGAGAUUCAAAAUGCUGCAAAUGUACAAGACAGCGGCUUAAAAUCAGAAUCCCAAAGAGGAAGGCAUCUCCCACUUGGACCUGAAGAUAUGCCAAACAGGAUUUGAGUUGAGCCUUCACAAAACAGUAGGAAUUUGAUAGAGAAAUAAGAAAGGACUCCAUUCCUGAAUCCAGGCAGGGACUGAGCUAAGGCCAGCAGAAGAGGAGAAAGCAUGCUUUAGGACACGAAACCCAUCAGUUUCAGGGGAGUGAGGGUUCCUGUGUGAGGACACUGGAGUGUCAAGCCAGAAAAGGAAGUGGAAGGGAAUCAGGAGUCCCUCAAGCUUUGGACUUCAUUUUGUAGGAGAUAAUGGGAUCAAAGUAGAAUGUGACAUUUCAGGAUGGUCAAAUUUUAAAAUGUACAUUUAUUUAUUUGCUUGUUUACUUAUUUGUGUAUGUGUCUUUUAUUUUUGUGGAAGUGUGCUCAUAUAUUAGGCCGGCUUGCCUGAUCAGCUCCCAAGGAAGCCACCAGUUCCAUCAGGUGCAGCUGCCCUGUCCACCUACACUCACAAAAACCCUGAGACCAGGAAGAAACCAGGGUCAUUUUUUCCCAUAUGUUCAGAAAGGGACACUGUAAACAUGUUCAGUGUUGCUCUAGAUGUUCUUGUUUUAUGAGACCUACAUCUACCUACAUUUUCAUUCCUUCCUAAACCAUAAUUUUUAUUUAUUUACAAUCUUGAUUCACUUUAGUUUUAUUGGUUUUGUUAUGUGGAUAUGUGUGUGUACAUGUGUGUUACAUAUAUAAGCAUUUUCAUAUGUGCAUAUUCAAAAUCAAAUGCAUUAACUGUCUCCUUCUGAGCCUCUUCUUCUUUGGGUACGCACAAAGCCCGGUAAUACUUCCCCACUAGUUAUGGUGUCAUAAAUUAUGGUGUCAUAACUAGUGAAGGCAAAUGGGAAAGUAUAACUAGUUUCAUUAAACUAGUUAUACUGAACUAGCAUAACUAGUUUCACUAAACUACUUAUACUGAACUAGCAUAACUGGUUUCACUAAACUACUUAUACUGAACUAGCAUAACUGGUUUCACCAAACUACUUAUACUGAACUAGCAUAACUGGUUUCACCAAACUAGUUAGACUGAACUAGCAUAACUGGUUUCACCAAACUAGUUAGACUGAACUAGCAUAACUGGUUUCACUAAACUAGUUAGACUGAACUAGCAUAACUGGUUUCACCAAACUAGUUAGACUGAACUAGCAUAACUGGUUUCACUGAACUAGCAUAACUAGUUUCACUGAACUAGCAUAACUAGUUUCACUAAGCUAGUUAUACUGAACUAGCAUAACUGGUUUCACUAAACUAGUUAGACUGAACUAGCAUAACUGGUUUCACUGAACUACUUAUACUGAACUAGCGUAACUGGUUUCACUGAACUACUUAUACUGAACUAGCAUAACUGGUUUCACUGAACUAGCGUAACUGGUUUCACUGAGCUAGUUAUACUGAACUAGCGUAACUGGUUUCACUGAGCUAGUUAUACUGAACUAGCGUAACUGGUUUCACUGAGCUAGUUAUACUGAACUAGCGUAACUGGUUUCACUGAGCUAGUUAUACUGAACUAGCGUAACUGGUUUCACUGAGCUAGUUAUACUGAACUAGCGUAACUGGUUUCACUGAGCUAGUUAUACUGAACUAGCGUAACUGGUUUCACUGAGCUAGUUAUACUGAACUAGCGUAACUGGUUUCACUGAGCUAGUUAUACUGAACUAGCGUAACUGGUUUCACUGAGCUAGUUAUACUGAACUAGCGUAACUGGUUUCACUGAGCUAGUUAUACUGAACUAGCAUAACUGGUUAAACUUAAGUGAAUUAAGUUUAUUGAAACUAGUUAUACUUUCCCACCUUUUGCAUUCUCCACCUUGCUUUGAUGUUGCCCUUCAGGCGGGAAUGCUGUACCUGUGUCCUCCCAUCACCCACUCCCUCUUUGCAUAUCUAAAUGUGCCUCAUCUUUUAAGGAUUAACUCAAAAGGCAACUUCCUCAUGAAGCUCAACUCUAAACGGAAAGUAAUUGUCCCCUCCCCCAAACUCCCUAAUCACUAAACACCACCCCUCUGAUCAUGCUUAAAAUUCUGCUUGAUGUUAUAAACGGUCACAUCUACACCAUUUCACAGCUACACGCUAAGAGCUCCCAGUGCCACCAUGCACCCCGGCAUGCACGCUAUUCUGCCAGGAAAGUCCCAUGAGAGCUUGGGCAUUGUUGAUUUCCUUUACUGCUGUAUCUCAUUGUCCAUGAUAGUUCUUGGCACACUAGGGGCUCAAAUAUGUUUUUGAUUGUGUGAAUAAACAAUUUAAUGAAAGAAUAAAGGAGGAUUGAUAUACAUUUAAUUCAGCUUUACAAUCCUCCCAGUAGACAAUAGAGUGAUUUUUUUUACUUGAGAUCCAACAAAUCAAUAAUUUUUGAAUGCAUAAAUUCUUUAAUAGAAAUAUACUUAUGCAAAUCAAGGCCAAAAGUUUAAUUUAGAAUUUUCCAAUUAAUUUAUUGCUUCUCUGUUGUGACCUCUGGAUGGUAAGCUUGGUUAAUACUAAAAAAAAGUCCUGAAUACCUCAGAAUGGAAAAUAUUCUCUCUAAUCCAUUGGCAGCAGACUGUUCUGAGAAUUUAUUAGACACAAGUAGAAGUCCAUUGAUAAACCACCUGAAUAAGUCUGAUGCCUAAUAGUUGUGAGAAAUAUUGUUAUAAAAGGAAGACCUUAGUUAGCAAAAUCUUCUAUUUUGAAAACUAGAAAACCUCCUUUUGCUAACAAAUAAGCUUAUUCUAAUGCAAAAUAUAGAUUGGGACUUCUUACCGUAAUGUUUCCCAACCUGGCCUGAUCAUAAAAAUUACCAAAAAAAUAAAAAAUAAAUAAAAAAAUAAAGAGUGUGUGAAAAAUACAGAUUCAGCAAAUCAAAUUCAGCAAUAUAGAAAAAGAAUUAUACACCAUGACCAAGUGUAAUUCCAGGUAUACAAGGCUGGUUCAACAUUCAAAAAUCAAGAAAUAUAUGUAAUCAUAUCAAAAGGAUAAAGAAGAAAACUCUCAUAAUUAUAUAGACACAGAAAAAAGCAUCUGACAAAAUCUAACACCCAUUCACAAAAUGAAAAAAAAAUCUCAUAAAACUAAUAGAGGGAAACUUUCUUAAUUGGAUAAAGAGCAUUUACAAAAAAAUCUAUAUUUGAGAUCAUACUUAAUGGCAAAUGACUGAACAACUUCACCCUGUGAUCAAGAGAAGAGCAAGACCUUUGCCCUCACGACACUUAUUCAACUUAGGAUUUGAAGUUCUAGCCAAUAUAAUAAUUAAAGGAAAAGAAAUAAAAAGCAUACACAUUUAAAGGAAAAAAACUAAGUUGUCCCUAUUUGCAGAUAAAAAUUGUUUAUAUAGAAAAUUCAAAUGAAUCUACCAAUUGUCAGAAAUUAGAAAUUAUCAGUGAGUUCAGUAGGGUUGCACAAUGCAAGAUCAGCCCACAAAAAUCAGUUGCAUCUCUAUAUACUAACAACAAAUAUGUAGAAACCAUAUUAAAAAUACAAUCCUAUUUUCUCCAAACAAAAUUAAAUUCUUAGGUAUAAACUUUAAAAAAUAUGCAGGAUCUGUGUGCUGAAAAUUAUGCUAAUAAAAGCAAUCAAAGAAGGCAUAAAUCAAUAAAAGCGCAAAUUAUGGUGUGGAUUGAAAGACAAAAUAGGAAACAUGUCAAUUCUCUCCAAAUUGACCUAUAGUUUUAAUGCUAUUUUUGUCAAUUUCCCUUGAAGGACUGUUUGCGGACCCUAGACAAGCUAAUUCUAAAAUUUAUAUGGAAAGGCAAAGGCAAAAUUUGCAAACACAAAUGAAGUAGGAGGAAUCAUUCUACCAGAUUUCAGGGCUUACUGUAUAGCUGCAGUAAUCAAGACAGUGUGGGGCGUGGCAGGGGCCAGACACAUGGAUCCAUGAAACAGAAUAGAGACCCCAGAAAUAGACACACACGAAUAUGUCCAACUGAUUUUUGACAACCAACUGAUUUUGGCAAAAGAAGAGAAAGCAAUCCAGUUGCUAUGAUUUGCAUGUCCCCACCAAGACGCAGGUUGAAAUUUAAUUGCCAUUUUAACAGUAUUAAGAGGCACCGUCUUUAAAAGGUGGUUAGGUCAUGAGAGCUCUGCCCUCAAGAAGGGAUUAUUACCUUAACCUCAAGAAUGAGUUCGUUAUCAUGGGAGGGGUUCCUAAUAAAAAGGAUGAACUCAGCCCACUUCCUUCUCUGUCUCUUUACUCUCCCGUCCUUCUGCUUGAGAUAAUGCAGCAAGAAGGCCCUUGCCAGAUGCUGGCAACAUGCUCUUGGACUUCCCAGCCCCCUAAAAGUUUAUUUGCUAGCCAAAUAAACUUCUUUUCUUUAUAAACUCCCCAGUCUGUGGUAUUCUGUUACAGCAGCAGAAAACAUAGGAAGUCAAUAGAAGAAGGAUAAAAACCAGUAGAAGAAGGAUAGUCUUUUCAGUAACUGACACUGUAACAAUUAAAUAUUACAGGCAAAAAAAAAAAAAACAAAUUUAAACCUAAAGUUCACACUUUAUACAAAAUGUAACUCAUAAUAGAUGAUGAGCUUUAAAUAUAAAAUAAAAAACUAUAAAACUUUGAAAAAAUAUGAGAAAAUCUCCAGGACCAAAGACCAAAAAAAGAGUUACUCACCUAACACCAAAAGCAUGCAUUCUAAAAGAAAAUUUUAAUAAACUGGACCUGAUUACCAAAACUCUUGCUCUGUGAAAGGCUUCAUUAAGAGGAUUACCAGACAUGCUACAGACUGGUAAAAAUAUUUACAAACUGCAUAUCUGACAUAGAACUACUAUCUAGAACAGAAAGACCCCUCAAGCCUUAACAGUAAAAAUAAACAAUGCAAUUAGACCAUUGGCAAAAGAUAUUUCACUAAAUAGAUAUUUUAGAGAAGAGAAAAUACAGAUGGCAAAUAUGCACUUGAAAAGAUGUUCAAUAUUACUAGCCAUUCAGGAAAUGCAAAUUAAAACCAAAAUGAGGUAUCACUAGACACCUAUCAGAAUUAAGAAAUAGAAAAAACACCAAAUGUUGGCAAGGAGGCAGAGAAACUAGAUAACUCAUACAUACAUUGCUGGUGGGAAUGUAAAAUGCCACAGCCAUUCCAGAAAUCAGAGUGGCAGUUUCUUAAAAGGGUGAACAUGCAACUAACAUAUGACCCAGCAAUAGCAUUGUGCAAUUAUCUUUGAUAAAUGGCAACUUAUGUUCAUCCAUAGCCCUAACUUGGAAACACUGGAGAUAUCCUUCUCAAGGUGAAUAAUUAAACCGACUGUGGUACAACCAUACCAUAGAAUAUCACUUGGUAAUAAAAAUGAAUUAAUAGGGUUUGGCUGUGUCCCCACCCAAAGCUGAUCUUGAAUUGUAGUUCCCAUAAUUCCCACAUUUGGUGGGAGGAAUCUGGCGGGAGGUAAUGGAAUCAUAGGGGCAGUUUCUCCCUGAUAGUAAGCUCUCACAAGAUCUGAUGGUUUUAUAAGAGGCUUCCUUCUUCCCUCAGCUCUUAACUCGUCUCUCUCCUCCUGCCAUGUGAAGAAGGACAUGUUUGCUUCCCUUUAUACCAUGACUAUAAGCUUCCUGAGGCCUCCCAAGCCAUGUGGAACUGUGAGUCAAUUAAACCUCUCUCCUUUAUAAAUUGCCCAGUCUUGGGUAUGUCUUCAUAGCAAAGUAAGAAUGAACUAAUACAGGAAUGAACUAUUAAUACAUGCAGUGACUUGGGUGAACCUCCAGAGAGUUAUGCUAAGUGAAAUUAGCCAAUCCCAAAAAGUUACAUAGGGUGUUAUUACAUCAUAGCACAUUCUUGAAAUGAUGAAAUAACAGAGAUAGGAAACGGGUUAGCAAUUGGCAAGAUUAGGGACAGAGGAGGGAAAGAAAGGUGAAAGUGGCUAUAAAAAGAUCCCAGGAGAGAGCCCUGUGGUAAUAGAACAGUUCUGUACCUUGUCUGUGGUGACAGAUACACAGAUCUCAAAAUGUGAUAAAAUUGCAUAGAACUAAAUGCACACACACACACACGGUGUGCAUAUGAAACUGGUGAAAUCUGGAAAAGGGCAGUGUGUUGCACCAAGGUCAGUUUCCUGGUUGUGAUACUGUACUGUAGUUAUAUAAGAUGUUACCACUGGAGAAACAGGUAAAGGGAAUAAAGGACCACUCUGUACUUUCUUGCAACUGAAUGUGAAUUUACAAUUAUCUCCAAGAUAAAAGUGUAGUAAAUACAAAUUCACUGGCCCCUUCCCUGGAAGUCAAAUUUAAUAGGUCUGGAGGGGAGGGAGCCCAGUACUCUGUAUAGUUAACAAGCACUCUGGGGGAUUCUGAUGGCAAGGCAAGUCCCAAGAGCAUUGCUGGAGGCUCUCCUAGUUCUUCACUUUAGACUUUCUGGCAGGGCUGUUAAACUUGACCAGGAUGCUGAAUCUAUGGGUUAUGACAUAAGAAUUCUUCACAAGGUCAUUUUUACCUCAUAAACAAGCAUAUCAACUUCAUUCUAAUAAAAGGAAAGUGUUGGCACUAUGUCUAAUAGCCCAAACCCAGUAAAGGAGAAAAGCAGUCUUUUAUUUCACUGAAAGGCUUUUUCGCAGUAGAACCUUAGAAACAACACUAUUUCACAGACUUAUCGCUGUGGUAUAUUAUGGUAUAUGGCAAAAAGCUUCAGUAUAUUUUCUUGAGUUCUAUUCCAGGCUGAAAGUUACCAAUCACCCCUCAUCUACUGGUACCCUGAACUUUGGGAGGAAAGUCUGUCUUUGGAAACACUGCAUGAGAUUUAUACCUUAGGAGCUAUGCUUUCACUCAUCCACUAAAAUCCAUACUAUGUAGAAACUGUUAUGAUAUUCAAGACAUCUGCACACUACAUGUCAUUAGGUUCAGCACCCUUGUGGAACAGGUUAAGUCUUUUGGUGGAAGCACAAGCUAAUGAGGCAAGGUGAUGGACAGAUUCCCCACAGGGCUGAAAGAGCUUUUCUCAGCAGCACAGCACAGCCUGGACUCCUGACCCAGCCCACAUGGCUCAAGAGGAGCCUUGUAGCUUAACCAUUUCUGUGUUGUCUCUCCUCUUCCCCUGGAUGGGAGCCCCUUGAAGGUAGGGACUGCUGGGGUUCCUCUCUCCAUCCCAGUACCCAGGAUCCCAGGUAGAUGCUCAGUGUUGCUUGUAAAUGAGUACAAAUGAAUACAUCAGUUGGAGUACGUGUGGAAUAGCAAUUCUGAGUAUAUGCCCAGAGAGCCACUCAUAAGGGGAAGACAAGUGACUUACUCUUUAUCCAUGCAGUAAGCAGAAGCAUAUUUGUCAGUGUGACCUCAUUUACUGUCCCUACAGCAGAAACACUCCUAAGACUCUCCCCCAACAAAACAUAUUCAGGUUUCUGUCUCAAAAAAUUCAUAUUUUGGGUCAAAAACUAUUCUGUUCAUGAUAGUAGCAUGAAAACAGUCAUGCUUAAAUGUUGAUUAUUUCAUUCUUCACAUAUGUUUUCAAGCAAUCUUAAAUAGGCCUUUAAGUAAACAUGGUCUCAAAGAAUUGAUUUCAAAUUGUACGAUAGGAAUUGGAAGAGGAAAAUGACAAUGGACGUGGCAUUUUACAACCUCAUCUGCAACAGUUACAGGUCUAAAUUCAAUAGCGAGUCCCUCUCCAUUUGUAUAUUGUAAUGGGUACACCUGAAAAAGGCAGCAAGAAAAAGAAAUUAAAGUCUAUUAAUAACUAACGCAUAGGUUUUUAAUGUAGGACAUGGGCUUUCAGGAUCUUACAUUAAAAAAACACACUUCCUCAAUGCUUCAAAUUCUCUAAACUUCUUACAUUACAAUUUUAUUCUAUGAAAAGAAACCUUACUUUUAGUACCUGAGUUCUCAAAAUAUUUUAAAAAUUCAUACAAAUUUCUAAAGAAAGGUAUUAAAGAAAAACUGUUUUCUCUGUACAAGAAUAAAAUCGUAGGCAUGUUUCUUUCCAACUUUUCACACUUGCUUUUUAUUUUUGUCUUUUGUACUUUUGCCAACAAAGGAGAAGCUCUUUCUGCAACUGCUCGUCUUUCUACUACAACCAGGUUAGCCCUACGGUGCCACUUUUUAAAAUAUCAACUGACCGGUAUUGAGUGCUGAUAAGUUGUGCGGUAUUGCUUUGACACUACUUCUUCUGCAAAAUUAAGCUAAUUCUUUAAAAAUUAAAUAUCAAGUGGUUCAUAAUAGGGUACAAUUAUUAAAACAAGCAGUUUGUUGAUUAUUUCUUCCUGCUUCCAUGGAAGAAUCAAAGUAUUCCAAAUAGAAAGCUCUAAUUCUCAUGCCCCUUAUGUAAAAAGCUCCUGCGGCCAGUAAAGGGUUACUGACCCAGAACAAACACAUUAAUAAGCUUUAGUAAUUAUAUUUGGGUCAUUUUAUUUUAAACCAUGAAAUCAAAAGCUCUGUUCACAUUAGUGCAUGAGUUGCUGUAACUAGCCACUGGGACUUCCUUGAUACACAAGCCAUCUGUGAAUGUGCUCAGAAUUUUUUCAUUCUAGACACAAAAGUUUCAUCUGUCUCCUUUUUAACCUACUAGUCAUCUUGUUCCCUCUCCAGGGCCAUACCCCGACAAAACCUCUCAACAUUCCUUUUGCAGAUAAUUGGGAGAUUUCAUUGGGAUGAACAAAAAGGAAAGAAGCUUCUGAUGCGUUGGCAUCCACUGUCUUUCAAUUAAACCAUUCAGCGAGAGGCCAAGGCCUACCCCAUCCUGUGCAGUCAGGAAUGGCUGGAGCAUCGUCGGAAACCGUGGGCGCUGGGCCAGGGAUGCCGGGGAAUGACAUCAUUUCAUUGUGUUCGCAUGACCAUGGAAGGCCUGUGUUACACACACCGGAUGAAGUCACCAGAAUGCUAGGGAACAGAGAAAGCCAGGGGUAAGAAUAAAGAAACCCUUGGCAAAGGCUUGGGAGACAGGAAGGUUGAAAAGAGGGGCAGAGAGGAGUCUGUGUUUAUUGUCAGUGGUCUGGCAUUCUGGGUUUGAAAAUAACAUCUGCUUCACUCGCUGCCUUCCCUCCACCUACCCACGGGCUCUGGGACCCAGGAACCUCGACGGAGCAGAAACCCGUAGGCGCCAUCGCUGGGAUAUUUGCCAGUUACAGCUCAUUUUUCUCCAUGUCAGGAUACAAAAAAGAGAAUGGAAGAAGGGAGCUUGAUACACAUAUAUCUUAAAACUCUUAUUUUGUCAAAAAAAUGUACAGUUUUAGCAGCGGCACUUUUUUAAAAAAGAAAUGUUAUUUUUCUCACAAUCCUUCUUAUAUUCCUGGAAAUAUUUUCUAUAUUCCUCAAAAGGCAAAUAUUUACUUAACUCAGGUUUUAUAAACUGGAAAUAGAUUGCCUAAUAAUGAAGAAAAUAAGAAUAUACAAAUGUAUGAAUAUGAAAUAUAUAUGAGAUAUUCAUAUCUAUAUGGAAGAAGACCAAAAGUGUAUUAAUAAUGAAGCAAAUAAGGAUGUACAUACAUAUAUAUAUGGAAACAAAAAGUAGAUUAAUUUUGCAGAGUAUAAUUUUACCCUUACAUACUCCAGUGUGUAUUAUGCAACAAUAGGAAAAUCUUUUUCCAUAACCACAGUGGAGUUCUCCACUUGAGUCACUUUCACGUUGAUACAGCACAGUAUCUGAUCCACAUCUGUAUUCCAUUUUGCAGUUGCCCGAUAACGUCCUUUAUAACUUCUGUUCCCUCCAGGACAGGAUCCAGCCUAGAGUCAGAUACUGCAUUUAGUUGUCACGCAUCUUCAGUCUCCUUUUAUCUAGAACAUUUCCUCAGCCUUUUUCUUUUACAACGUUGAAACUGUUGAAGAAUAUCGUGCCCCUCCCCUUUUGUUAGUAGGCAGGUCCUCACUUUGGGUUUGUCUGUUGCUUCAUCGUGAUUGGAUUCAGGGAGUGCAUUCUUAGCUGAAACACUGCAGAGGUGACGGUGCGUCCGGGGAGUUACACCUGGAAGCACGCAGUGCUCCUCUCUUCCUCAUCUAUGGUGUUAAUUUUGAUCGCUCAACCAAGGUGUUGUCCAAUUUCUCCACCUCAUUAUUUUUUGAACUGAACAAGCAGAUUGUGAGGAGAUAUUUUGAGCUCCUCGUCAAAAUUUCCUCUUAAAUUUGCCAUCCACUGAUGAUUCUUGUCUGAUCCAAUUUUUAUUCUAACACACGCAAAACUCCAGCACUGUCUCCACAUUUCCCACAUGGCCUGCCACUGUGAGGAAGACCUCGCCCUUCUCCCUUAUUUGUUUAUUUGUUUACCCACUUAUUUAUCUAUUACUGGAUUGCUCUUGUGAUCUUGGUGCUCAAAUGCGCAUACGGUGCUGAAAUAAAUUUAUAGUAACUUUGUGCUUUAGUUUUUAAAAAUAAUUAAAUUACAUAUGUGCACAUAUAUACAUAUCCACAUAAAGUGUGUGUGCAUGCACAUGCAUGCGUGUGUGUGCAUGCACAUGCAUGCAUGUGUGUGUGCAUCAACCUAAGGGCCACAAAGCAACACAAAAAGAAAUUCAUAUCAUGUGACCCACAUGCUUAAAAAAUUAUUAAUAACUCACUGGGUCUUAUAAAUGGCAUUCUACCAAUUUUGAAAAUGUAUGUUGGCAUAAGCAAAACACAUUGAGAUUAUUACCAACCUAAACAAUCCCUAGUCUGCACAAAAUACAAAGAACUGUGGUAAAAUGAAAUGGCGACUAGUCCAUCUUCCACUGUGGGCCAUGGAGGACGCUUCUGGGAAAGACAUUAAAAUCUCCAUAAUUAUUAUUUAACAUGUAUUCGGCACCAUAAACGUACACAGAGAAGUGUGAUAAAUGAAGCUGUGCCCCAUCAGUAACAGUGUCUGCCCUGAGGAGUUGAGAGCCUGGAAAGAUGGCAUUCAUACGCCUAAUUGGGCAGUCCUGCACCCUAGGGAGAAAUAUCUUCUUGAAAGGAUAUGUUGCUUUCAUGAUACAUUUAGGAGCCUAUAGGUGAAUUAUAUAAAUUACUCCUUUUAUAAAUUACUCUUCAACAUGAUUAUUGAAAUAGCAUAAAUAAAAAAGAAAUUUACCAACACAGCCUAGUGAGAAAGGUAAUCUGUGUUAUCAAGUAACCCUCAGAGGUUUAAAACUGCCAAACUGAACCCCUUCGCCUGCUCCUGUACCCCAAGGGCAGGCUGAGUUAACAAACCCUGUUGAUUUAUGUAUCCAGCUGCAGAGAGGCCAAAUCUCUGCUUUCCCCUGUGCUCCACAUUAAUGAACAGGGAUGGAGCAGUGAGAUGAAAAUCAGGAAUUGGAAGCACACCAGUGACUGAGUAAACUUAGGUGAAUGUGCGACCCUUCCUGAGCCUGUCUCUGAAACACUACCAGUAGCCCUCAGCCCCUCUCUGUAUCAAAACUUGAUUUAUGUGAAUAGCUCAAGUCUGCCUUUUCUAUAUAAUUUGAAAAGCAUGCGUACUUAAUAAAGUUUUGGGAAUUUCAUUCGGAACAUCAUCCCAAAACUUUGGUAACGCUUGGCUUUUACCCCAUUUACUUUAAUAUAAGGAAGAGAACCGCUUAAUACUAAGAACCACUUAAUAAUAAUCUCUUUCCAUAGUACCUAUUUUCAGUAAAACAAACAAAAUAAAAAACAGAAACGCUGUCAUAUAAACUUCCUAUUUCUCUCACUUUUUAACAUAUUCAAGAUAAAGCUAGACACUCUGGAGAUGCCUAAUAACACUCGAUUUGGGAUAUCCGCCAAGAUGUGCAGCCUUAGAGGGCCAGCUUUACUUUUAACAUUUGCACGAUGCCUCCCUUGGGAAAUUUUUCACCUCUCACAGCCCUCUCCUUGGCCUACCCUCUCUCUCAAACCUGACAUCAUCCUCACUCCAAACUUUUAACAGCUUGGAAUUUUGUUUGGGGAAAGAAGAAGAGCUGAACGUCUCUGCCUUGACUUAAGCAGGAAUUUGGAGUUUGUAGGCGUUUACCCUUUUAACAGUGAAGCACCAGCAAGCACCAAAAUCUACAGUAUUUCCUUCUAUAUGAACCAUUUUUUAGGGAAGCCAACCUCCUUCAAUUUGUUUUCUUUAAAGGAAAGGGAAGUAACAAAAAGACAUAUUAUCCCAAUCUGUGGUAAAAAAUACACAGGGACAUUGGCUUUCAUGUUUCUGGACUUCUCAGUUCUCUCUUAUUCUAACUUUAUCCUUGGAUAUGGGACAUGCUGUUGAAUCUCUUAAGGAAGUGUGUCAGGAGAAAACUCAGAGAGGGUCAUGGAGGUACCCCUGGCCCUAACCAAGCUACAAGAACUGUUUCCUUUUAUCUUCUAAAUCUUUCUUACUUUAAAAAGAAGGAUUAAAAACUCUCUCUUCACUUGGUUUUCCAGCAAGAAAACUUUUUCUCCUAUAAAACAAAUAAACUUCCUACUACUUUUUCCAUUAUACCUAUUGGCUUUAUAUCAUAUGUAUCGUGUACAUAUGUAUCAUAUAUAUCAUGUAAAACAUGAUGUUUUGAAACAUAUACAUUGUGGAGUGACUAAAUCUACAUAAUUAACAUCCAUUACCUCACAUAAUUAUGACUUUCGUGAUAAGAACAUUUUACAUCUACUCUCUUAGCAUUGUUCAAGAACACAAUAUAUUACUAUUAACUAUAGUCACCAUGUUGUAUAGAUCUCCUGAACUGAUUCCUUCUGUCUAACUAAGCUUUUGUACCCUCUGACCGACAUCUCCGUGACAUCCCCUACAAAUCACCCCAACCUCUGGUAACCAGCAUUAUACUCUCUGCUUCUAUAAAUUCAACCUUUUCAGAUUUCACAUAUGAAUGAGAUCAUAUGGCAUUUAUCUUUCUGUGCUUGACUUACUUCACUUAACAUAAUAUCCGUCAGCUUUAUUUACGUUGUCACAAAUGACAGAAUUUCCUUCUCUUUCAAGGCUGAAUAGUAUUUCCUUGUGCAUAUAUAAGAAAAUACAGAAAAUGUUUUCCUAUAUUUAAGCAAAAAUACAUGUAAGAAUAUAUGAAUAUAUGUAAGAAAGUGUAGCACAUUUUUUUUAACCGUUUCUCUAUUGAUGGACACUUAGGUUGAUUCCAUAUCUUGGCUAUUGUGACUAGUGCUGCAAUGAACAUAGGAAUGCCGACAUCUCUUCCACAUACUGACUUCAUUCCCUUUGGCUCUACACCCAGUAGUGUCAUUGCUGGAUCACAGGUGGUUCUGUUGUCCAUAAUGGCUGUUCUAAUUUGUAUUCCCACCAACAAUGCACAAGGGUUCCCUUUUCUCAUAUUCUCACCUACACUUGUUAUCUUUUGUCUUCUUGAUAAUAGCCAUCCUAACAGGUGUAAAGUGAUAUCUCACUGAGUUUUUAAAUUUGUGUUUCCCUGAUGAUUAGUGAUGCUGAGGACUUUUUCAUAUACCUGUUAGCCAUUUGCAUGUCCUUUUUGGAGAAAUGUCUAUUCAGGUCCUUUGCUCAUGUUUUUGUUGGGCUAUUUUUUUCUGUCUUUUCAGUUGAGUUCCUUGUAUGUUUUGGAUCUUAACGCUUUGUCAGAUGUAGAGUUUAAAAAUAUUUUCUCCCAUCCCAUGCAUGGGCUGUCUCUUUGGUCUGUUAAUUGUUUCCCUUGCUAUGCAGAAGAUUUUUAGUUUGAUAUAAUUCCACUUGUCUAUUUUUGCUUUUGUUGCCUGUGUUUUUGGGGUCAUAUCCAAAAGAGUAUUGCCCAGACUAAUGUCAGGGAGUGUCUCCCCAUGUUUUCUUCUGGUAGCUUCAUAGUUUUAGGUCUUGCAUUUAAGGUUUUCACACAUUUUGAGUUGAUUUUUGCAUAUGGUAUGUGAUAAGGGUCUCAUUUCAUUCUUCUAUUAUGGAUAUCCAUUUUUCUCAACACCAUUUAUUGAAGAGACUAUCCUUUUCUCAUUGCAUGUUCUUGGCUCCUUUGUGCUUUGUAGUAUAUUUUUAAAGAUGGUGGUGCAGUGCCUACAGCUUUGUUCUUAUUUUUCAGGAUGGCUUUGGCUAUUCAGGGUCUUUUGUAGUUUCAUACAAAUUUUAGGAGUGUUUUUUCUACUUCUGUGAAGCCUAUUUGCUUAGAAUAUUUCUUCUCAUCAAACAGCAUCAUUAAGUGCUUAGUGGAUACUGUUAGAAAAAUCCUUCAAUUAUGAAAAUCACCAUGUAUACAUGGCUGUUUAAAAAGCAUAAUUUAUGUGCAUUUAUAGAACAAAAUCCAAAAAGAAAUAAUUGAAAGAACAGUUGUUUUUACCUUCUCCCACACAUAAACUCAACCCCUUAGGAAAUAUUAGCAUAGAACAACUUUUCUUGGAAUCUAGAGUUUAAGGCUCUUCAAUAAUUUUAAAAGAAACAAAAUAUAUAUCAGAAAUAUAAAAUAUGAUAACUGGGAACUUUAUAGGCUAUAGUUUCUAGUCCUUAAGUAAUAAAAUAUUAUAGUGAGUAUAAGAAUGAAAAUAAAUAUCUCAAUGAAAAAUUUCAAGCCAAUAUUCAAAAUAUAUCACUUAUGACUAUUUUAUAUUUAAAUGCCCAUGAUAUUCUAAAUUUUUUUAUUAAAAUGUUAAGUUGGAGCUGCAUUUCUAGCAGACAAGAUACCGUGGGUGACCCUGCCUUCUUUAUUGAGACAACUAAAAUGCUGGAAGAGAGAGAGAUGAGAGAUAGACGGUAAUAUUGCACCGCAUUUUUGAGUUGGCACAGAAGGAAUCUCAGAGGUCCAAAUGAAAAUGAAAGCAGGAACCUGGGAAAUAAGCAAGAACUGCCAGAACAAAAGUUGCCUUUUGUCUGGGGAUUUCAUCCAAGCCUUAGAGGCCUUGAGCUUCUGCUUUGAUGUGAAACCAGAGAUAAAAUCUAGGCCUGCCCAACAUGAGGAAUCUCACAGGAUGCCUUCCCAUAUAAAGCUGGGAUAGAGAAUGAAUAAAGCCACUCUUCAAAAGGGAAUUGAUGGCCUCAGGUUUGGCACUGUUUGCAUGCGGGGAAUAUGUGUAGCCCAAAGUCUGGUAGAGCACCAGGCAACUAGCAGAAGCAGAUCAGAAUUGUCCCCAGUUCAGGGGACCCAGGAAUAAAAAUAUUCCUGCAUGAAAUCCCAAAGAAAAUGAGUAGUUGACAAUUAAACAAGCAUAAAACACAGAAGGAAACAAACACAGCAUGCAUGAGUGCCAGUCAUAACAGGAGAUAGCAGAAGGAAGUCCGUAAGGGUUACAAAACAGCAAUGAUCAGAAUACACAUGUAUUACAUUUCACAUGUUUAAGCAAAGAAAAGCCUAGAAAUAGUAGAAAGUAGAACGAGUUUACUUAGAAACAUGAAAAUUUGAAAAAGAAUGACAUCAUAAUUUUAUCUUCUACAAAUGAUAUGAAAAUAAGUUAAUGAAUUAAACAUCAGGUUGGAGAAAGUUAAGGAAAAAAUUAGCGAAUUGGCAAACAGAGCUGAAGAAGUCAUCCAGAAUGCAGCACAGAUGAAAAAGAGAGGAGAAAUACGAUAGAGAGAUUGUGCCACCGAAAGAAAGUGGAACACUUUAACAUUUGUCUAACUAUAGUUCCAGAAGGAGAAAAUAAAUAUAAAGGAUAAGAAUCAAUGUUCAAAGGACAGUGAUAAUGGCUGGACAUUUUCCAGAAUUGCUGAAAUGUACCAAUUCUUACAGCCAAGGAGCCCAAUGUCAAUCAACAUUCAUGUCAAUCACAUAAAUAAAAAUCACAGCUGUGAAACUGCAGAAUAGUAAAGAACCAAGGAGGAAAGACAGAUCACCAGGAAGAAACAGGAUGAUGACUUCUCAACAGUAAAAAAGAAUCCAUAAGGCAAUGUAAUUAAUAUCUUCAAAGUGCUGAUGAAAAAUAAUAGUCAAUCGAGACUUCCAUAUCUUUCAAGAAUGACAGCAAAAUAAAGAUACAUUCAGACAAGUCAAAAUUGAGUUUGUUCCAGAAGUCUCUCACUAAAGAAAAUUCUCAAGGAUUUAUGUGAGGGAAAAGGAAAGAGACUUCAGUUGGGAUGUCUGAGAAGCAAAACAGAAUGGUCACAACCAGAAUCUAAAACACCGCUGCAGGCCAGCAGUCAUAGAGUUAUUCUGAGCAUUAAACGUGAAGAGCUGAAGUGCCCUAUAUAUAUGUGUUAGUAUGAGGAACAGAAAGGAACUUCUUAAACCUGUUAAAAGCCCUCUACAAAUCCAAAAGCAGUGUGUCAAUAGCCAAAUUCCUGUUGUUCCUAUUCAAACCUGAAACCUUCCCCAUCUCAGUGGGCCAGCUGGCAACUUCAGCCUUCCUUUGUUCAGUAAUUCUUAACUCCUCUCUGCCUCUUACAUCUGACAUUCUAACUCUCAGGAAAUCUCAUUAACUGUGUAUUCAGAAAGUAUCAAGAUCUGAGCCCCUCCAGAUCACCACGUUCAGAGUCGCAACCAUGUCUCACUUAGAGGGUUGGAGCUUCCUGGAUGGCUUCUCUGUGUCUGUGUUGGGUGGCCUUGUUCUACCUAAUGACCUAAUUUAAAAUUUGCAAUAUCUCCCCAGACCUGAGCCACCUUUCUCUGCACUGUUCCCCCAAUGACAAGCACCACCUUCUAGAAUGCUAUAUAAUAUAGUUACAUGUUAUACUGAUUGCUUAUUUUCUCUCUUCACGCCUACCUUUGUAAAAUGUAAGCUUUAUGAAGUAUGAGAUUUCUGCUGGCUUUUGUUUUGCUGGUUUUUUACUGGCAUAUGCUGAGCCAUGUCUGACUAUGUGUUGAAUGAGUGAAAAGUUACAAGUAUCUUUCAUAAGAUCAGGACCAAAAUAAGCAAAUGUAGUAAAGUACACUAACAAAAUGUUACAAUGUAAAACUGGAAUAAAAUAAACCAAAUUGUCAUUAUUUUUAGAAAAUACGAUCAUCUAUAAAGAAAUCUUAAGUAGUCAACAGAUAAAAUAUUACAAUCUCAGUAAUAAGAGAAUUUGGCAAAAUUAUGAAUACAAAAUCAAUAUACAGAGGUAUAAUUGCGUUUCUAUUCUACAACAGAGUUAUUUAAAUAAUUAAAGACACCAUUUAAAUAGAAAAGAAACAUAUAUAACCUUAGAAUUAACUUAGAAUAUUUUAAGCAUUCUAUUAAAAUAAUAUCUCACCAAAGAUGUGUAAGACAUUUAAAAGCAGAUAUUAAAGAAGAUCUAAGUAAAAUGAGAGUUACAUCAAAUUUUUGAAUUUGAACAUAUAUCAAUUCUUCAGAAACUGUUCUAUCAAUUCAGUCUAAUUCCAAUACAUUUCUCAGCUGUUUUUCACAAACAUCUAAACAUAAAAAUAUUUAGAAACAUUUAGCUAUUUCUAAAAUUUAGAAGAAAAUAUAAAUGACCAAGGAUUGCCAAAGCUCUCUUGAAGAACAAGGUAGAAGUAAUUGCCCUACUGGAUAUCAAAGCUUAUUAUAAAGUAAUGGUAAUAAAGUUAUAAAUAUUUAAGCAAGUAAUAGUAACCAAAGUGUAUUGUAAAGUGGUAGUAAUUAAAACAGUGUGACAUUAAGACCAAGGUGAACAUUCAGGGAGCCCAGAAAGAGAUCCACAUAUAUGCAGAUGAUAUAUGACAGAGCGUGCAUGGCAGAUGAGUGGGGAAAGAAUGAAGUCUAUAGUAAGUGGUAUUCAUAUGGAAAAUAUUGACAUUUCUAUUAACCUCUUCAGAAAAAAUGUAAGAAAAUCCUAUGACCUAUAAGCGAAAGGAUUUCUUAAAUAAGACCCCAAAAAACAGAAUGGAUAAUUAUACAAGAUGGAUAAUUGUAACUACAUUAAAACGAAAAAGUUUCUAUUUCUCAAAAGAUACCAUAAAGUGAAAUGGCAAGCCACACACUGAGAGACAAUAUUUUCACCACUUAAAAUGGAUGAAGGAUUAGUAUACAAAGUAUGUGUGUGUGCACACGUGUGUGUAUAUAGAUAUAGUUUACUAAUCACAAGAAAAAGACAAACAACUCGAUGGAAAAAUUGGCCCCCAAAGAGGGCUUAAAUGACAGAAAACAAAAAAAAAAGACAGAAAUAGACACAGGAAUGGCCCACAAAAAUCUGAAAUGAGGCUCAACAGCAUGGAAUAAACUUAUUUUCCAUGGGUUUCCGUUUGAUUCCAUGCCUUUCCUUAGAAAUCCAAGAUAACAUACUGAUCUCUCCACAUAUCCACAAAUUAAACACAAAUGGAAAUAUCUGUUGAGUCCCCUGUUACCUUUUUGUAUUUUUUGUAGCAUUUACUAAAACAAAGCUUUGUAUGACAUGAGAACAGUAUGUAUCAGAAAAAUGAAAAUUAAAUCCACAAUUUAAAAUCUACUUUACUACUACCAAAUUAGCAAAAAUUUAAGUCUAGUGAUAUCCAAUGUUGGUAAGGAAGUAGAACAAUGAGAACAAAUACAUGCCAGUGACAGGGGAAACUGGUGCAAAUGCAUUGAAGUACACUUUGGUAUUCCCUUGCAAAGCUGGACAUCGGAAUACCUAUAACUAAGCAAACCCCCAGAGAAAAUAUUGCUCAUGUAUACCAGGAGGUGUAUGAGGAUGUUUAGAGUAGCACCGUUCAUAAUAACAAAGAGAAGUAAUGACUUGGAAUACCUAGCCAUAGUAGCACUGACAAAUCAAUUGCAAAAUAUCUUUAAAGUGGAACGCUAAAGAGCAGUGAAAAUAAAUUAACUAAUAAAUUAACUAGAGCACUGUGGUUCAUUCUAUAUACAUAGAUUAUUAUACCAUUAGAAAAACAAAGGAAUGAUUAAUGUAAAACUCAGGAAAAUGGAUAACUCUAUAGAGAAUGCAGUCAGAAAGGGACAUAAAGGGAUCAGUAAAAUAAUAAUGGUCUAUUUUAUAUGCUGAAUGCUAACUUAGUACAAGGAAUGUUUUAACUCUACAUAAUUUACUUAUGUGCACAUUUUGUUUCUCACAGCAGCAUGGAAUAAGCUUAUUUUCCCAUGGGUUUCUGUUUGAUUCUAUGCCUUUCCUUAGAAACCCGAGAUAACAUAUCUCUGCACACAUCCACAAAUUAAAUACAAGUGGAAGUAUCUACUGAGUCCAUCUUUGGCUUUUUGUAAUUUUUGUGUAGCAUUUACUAAAGCAAAGUUUUAUGUGAUAUGAGAACAAAUGUUGGAUUCCAAUUGUAAAAACCCUAUCAGAAGCAAAAUAGGCAACUAGAGAUGAACAUGGAGCAUGAGUGGUUUUCCAAGGAAAAUGUCAGUCUUAUCGUUCUAAUUACAAGAAGCCAGUGCUACUGUGUAAAUCUGAUUUACACAAACUGGACUUCAAUUAAAAUUCCAGUUUUGCAAAUUCAGGACACUAAUUCUCAAAUGCCAAUAUAAAUAGGUUAAAAAGAUAAAAACAUGAACACACAACGUGGGCAAGCAUGUAUAAAAUACAUAAAAUGAAGAUAUGUUUUAAUGUUUACUUUAUGCAAGAAUGCUGCUCUCGUAAGUUAUAUGUGCUCCAUAAAGUAUUUAAAUUACCCGGGCAUGAUAGAGGGUACCUGUAAUCCCAGCUACUCAGGAGGCUGAGGCAAGAGAAUUGCUUGAAUCCGGGAGGCGGAGGUUUCAGUGAGCUGAGAUCACACCACUGCACUCCAGCCUGGGCAACACAGUGAGAGUCCAUCCCAGAAAAAAAAAAAAAAAAAUUACAGGGCACAAUUAACAAGUCUAUAUUUUUUAGCCAACUACAACAAUUCUGCUUCACUAUUAAUUAAUAAAAGUUACAAGUAAUUUUAGCAUUCACAAGCAGUCUCUAAAGUAACACUGGAAUUUUACAAGUCACAUAAAAUGGCACUAAUAUUAAUUCUACCAAAUAUUUUACUUGCAAAUCAAUUUACCCAUGUUCUCCUAGAGCAAGUGGCAUAAUGUAGUUGCAAAUUGUAUUACAAAUAGAUUGUCUUGAAAUGAUCACUUUCAAUUCCAUGCCCCCAACUAAACAAUCUUGAGAUGUUUGCAUUCGAUUAUUUGGAAAAUAACAAUUAUAACAUGUCCUGAGGGACCAGUAAUCUAGCAAAUUAAAUCCAGUGAAAUAUAAAUUCGUCACCAUUAUCUUUUAAUAUUGGCGAACUAGAUAAGGGGAAACAAAAGCUAUUACUAAACAGAUAAAUGAAUAAGCCCAGACAUGUUGUUAACCCUCAACUAUGAUCACCCCCAUGUGUGUGGGGCCAUUGCCCAAGCCCCCUUAUUAUUCUAAAGCAAAGAAUUAAUGAGGUUUGUAGUAAAUAGGGUCUGACCCUGAAUAAAACAAUCUUAUUUUCAGCUUCAACCUCGCAAUAUAGCGCUUCCUAAAUAUGCUUUCGGGUUCACUAAACUUUGUUAUCCUUGCUCAGACUAAAGUGACUCAGGAGGCAGAGGGAAAUGGCUUGAUUCUCUAAACUGUGAAAUCAAAGUAAAGUCUUUGUCAUCUCAGGAGCUCAUGCUUCCAGUGUCUCCUCUCCAAGCCUGUGCCAAGGUAAACGGGCAAGUAAGUAUGUUAUGCAGCCACAAACCAAACAAACUAAUCCAAAUUUCUGGAACGUACCAAAUCUAGAUUAUUUUGAGAUUAUCUCAUAGAACCAUGGGUCAACAUCACCUGACUGAUGAAAGUAAGGAGUAUUCUGAAUGUCAGGCACCCCAGAAGCGAUCUAAUGUGGGGCAGGAAAUCAGCAGGCAUGCCAGGAGAAAGUCGGCCUCCUACCGUAACGCAGGCAGGGAGGGAGGGGUAUUUAAGCUGAACCUGAGGCCAGCAGGGCAUGGGAUGGUUCUGUCGUGCAGGAGGACUUCCUUGGCUGUCGCAUGACAAGCCACAAGCUGGCAGCAGAACAAAGCACCAUCCUCUCUACAGGAAAGCAACAACGGUGUUGCCUAAGAAGGGUCCCAUUCCUGGGGCCACCAGCAUCCCAGGUAAAGGUGCCUGGUAAAUUCAGGGGGAGCAUAAGAAACGCAGGAUGAGCUCUGGAAAACAGACCGUCAGUGGCAAGCCCGUGGCUCAUAUGGAAGUAUCAGCAAGGCUUGCCAGCCAUGUUUCCACACCCAAGAAAGUGACCAUCAUCAACAGUAAAGGCCACAGCUUGACAUCAAGACAAGGUGGCUGAAGGUGGGCUGAGCAAAACUGUUGAAAAUGUGAUUGGGAGGGAGCACUGCUUAUUCCCUGGAACUCUCAGGAACACGUAAGGGACACUUUGUGGUGGAGUGCCUAUGAACUACCUUCUAAGAAAGAAAUCAGUGGGACUUUAUACAUUAGUAAGCUUCGUCUAAAAAAAAAAGGGAAUGUAAACUCUACUUUUGAUUUAUAGUAGGUGCGUUUAGGCUACAUGGGGAAAACAAAACUCACCUUACAGGCUGGAGGCAAGGGUCAUAUAAGACAUGUUGAAGGCAUCGGGUGUCUACUAGGCUUUCAAAGAUUGGUUGCCAAUUUCAAUCCUCACGCAUUUCUUCUUUUCUGAAAUUACACAUUUUCACAAUUUUCAGGAAAGGAGGAAUUAAGUAUUCCUGUUUUAUUCUAGAGGAUACUAUGAUUAGGGCCUCAGUAAGCUACCUGGUAAAAUUCUCUCUAAAACUCAAGGAUACUUGAAGCACCUUGAGAAGAAGCUAAAAUAUUGUCUUCUAAUACCAUCAGUACUUACUUGCAUUCAUCAUUUUAUUAGUUGUCUAUAAGGAACACUUACAUGUUAAUCAUAUUAACACUUUGAAUGGCAUAUAAGAAGCAAUAUUUUCCAUGACUUCAAAUAAAUUCUUAUACAUUAGCAUAAGGCCACACCUCAGAGGGAAGUUGUCUCGUAAAAAGUGAGACAUUGGUUGGCAAGUAAAUAGAAUUUGCAGGGUGGCUAAUGUUGGACUGUUUUUCAGCAGGGGAAGAGAAAGAAUAGAGAUGCCCUUAAAAUAAACCAUAUGGGUCUCAAACUAUUCAUGCCACGAAUCAGGUCAGUCAUAUUUCAACCUCCUCCCUCAAGCUUAUCUCAGUGCAACUUAAGGAAGAAAUGGAAAGUACAUUUCCACCAGAAUGCAUGUCUUAUGGAGGGGCAGGGGAGAAGGCAAUUUCAUAACAGUUUCAAACUAAAGUAGUACCCCAAAGCCAGUGAUGUAUUCUGGCCCAGACUUGACAGGUUAUUUUACCUGACCAAGCCUUAUUGUUCCUCUGGAACAAUAAGCAUAUUUUCACACAUUCUAUUUUUAUUUCUCACCAAAUGUGUCAAGACUUGGUUUCUAUUAAUUAAAUUUGUAUAUAAUUGUAGAUAUGCAUGCAGUUGUAAGAAACAAUACAGGGAGAUCCAAUAUACCCUUUGCCCAAUUCCCCCAGUGGUAACACCUUGCAGAUAUUGACAAUGAUACAGUCAAGAUACAGAACAUUUCCAUCACCACAAACAUCCCUUAUGUUGAACUUUUAAAGCCACACUCACUGCCCUCUCCCUCUCCUCUGUCCUUAGCUCCUGGCAACCACACUUGUGUCUCUCUGUUUUGAUAAUUUUGUUAUUUCAAGAAUGUUUUAUAAAUGGUACUAGAUAGUAUACAACUUUUUGAGAUUGAUUUCAUUUUCUCAACAUAAUUUUCUGAAGAGUCAUCAAGGUUGUUGCAUGUAUCAAUAUACUAACAUGCAUGUAUUAACAGCUUAUUCCUUUUCAUUGUUGAGUAGUAUUCCAUGUUUUGGACAUAGCAAGGCUUGUUUAAACAUUCACUAAUUUAAAAAUAUCUUAUUUGUUUCCCAUUUGAGGCUGUUAUGAAUAAAGCUACAAUUAAGAUUUGUGUACAAAUUUUAUGUGAACAUAAACCUUCAUUCUUUUUGGAUAACUGUUGGGUCACAUGGUGCUUGUAUGUUUAGUUAUUUAAGAAACUGCCAAAUUCUUUUCCAAAGUGGCUGAAACAUUUUACAUUACCAUCAGAAAUGUAGGAGUGAUCCAUUUGUCUGCAUCCUUGCAAGUAUUUG